ACCGCCGCUAGCCGCCAGCCACUUUGCCUUCUGAUUGGCUGGUGGAGAAGGCUCCCCGUGCAACGAUUGGUUAAAAUCGGCCUGAGGAAUUCUCGCGGACAAACAUGGAGCAGGGCAUUCUGGGAAAAGUGUAUCGGAUGCCCUGGAACAGUUGUGAGCCGUUGGGACAGCAGCAGGCAUUCCCUUAAACCAUCUCCCCCAGUUGAUCAGAUGUUGAGCUUUAAGACUACUGGUCACAAGAACAAUGUGCUCCCAGAUCUUACGGAACUUCAAACUGAAUGGGACCAGAAUACUACCAAAGUAACCCAUGCUCCCUGAAGAGAGACACCAAGCUAUUUUAAAGUACACACUUUAAAAGUAAUAACGAUAAUAAAGAUUUUAAACUAGG